rnacentral:rRNA from 1 species
UACAGGGGGGGCAAGCGUUGUUCGGAAUUACUGGGCGUAAAGGGUCUGUAGGUGGCCAACUAAGUCAGACGUGAAAUCCCUCAGCUUAACUGGGGAACUGCGUCUGAUACUGGAUGGCUUGAGUGUGGGAGAGGAAUGCGGAAUUCCAGGUGUAGCGGUGAAAUGCGCAGAUAUCGGGAGGAACACCGGUGGCGAAGGCGGUUCUCUGGGCCUUACCUGACGCUGAGGAGCGGAAGUGUGGGGAGCGAACAGG